ACAUUAGGAUCUGAAACAUAGAGGAGUGUGCCCACCUUUUAUACCUGUGGGCGGGGAUUCAGGAACACCACCUGGAGCUGCUGUGACCACUCUAGGAUAUUGCCCCCAUCCAUUCUCAACUUGGGAAAGUCUACUGGCGGAAGAGCGCAUGCGCGAAGUCCAUUUCAGCUCCGCCGUCGCCGAGGAAGGAC